UAGGGAAUCUUCCGCAAUGGGCGAAAGCCUGACGAGCAACGCCGCGUGAGUGAUGAAGGUCUUCGGAUCGUAAAACUCUGUUAUUAGGGAAGAACAAAUGUGUAAGUAACUAUGCACGUCUUGACGGUACCUAAUCAGAAAGCCACGGCUAACUACGUGCCAGCAGCCGCGGUAAUACGUAGGUGGCAAGCGUUAUCCGGAAUUAUUGGGCGUAAAGCGCGCGUAGGCGGUUUUUUAAGUCUGAUGUGAAAGCCCACGGCUCAACCGUGGAGGGUCAUUGGAAACUGGAAAACUUGAGUGCAGAAGAGGAAAGUGGAAUUCCAUGUGUAGCGGUGAAAUGCGCAGAGAUAUGGAGGAACACCAGUGGCGAAGGCGACUUUCUGGUCUGUAACUGACGCUGAUGUGCGAAAGCGUGGGGAUCAAACAGG
rnacentral:rRNA from 1 species